GAUGAACGCUGACAGAAUGCUUAACACAUGCGAGUCAACUUGAAUUUGGGUUUUUUAACUUAGAUUUGGGUGGCGGACGGGUGAGUAACGCGUAAAGAACUUGCCUCACAGCUAGGGACAACAUUUGGAAACGAAUGCUAAUACCUGAUAUUAUGAUUAUAAGGCAUCUUAGAAUUAUGAAAGCUAUAUGCGCUGUGAGAGAGCUUUGCGUCCCAUUAGCUAGUUGGAGAGGUAACGGCUCACCAAGGCGAUGAUGGGUAGCCGGCCUGAGAGGGUGAACGGCCACAAGGGGACUGAGACACGGCCCUUACUCCUACGGGAGGCAGCAGUGGGGAAUAUUGGACAAUGGACCAAGAGUCUGAUCCAGCAAUUCUGUGUGCACGAUGACGUUUUUCGGAAUGUAAAGUGCUUUCAGUUGGGAAGAAAAAAAUGACGGUACCAACAGAAGAAGUGACGGCUAAAUACGUG
rnacentral:rRNA from 1 species